rnacentral:rRNA from 1 species
CCUACGGGAGGCAGCAGUGAGGAAUAUUGGUCAAUGGACGCAAGUCUGAACCAGCCAUGCCGCGUGCAGGAAGACGGCUCUAUGAGUUGUAAACUGCUUUUGUACGAGGGUAAACGCAGAUACGCGUAUCUGUCUGCAAGUAUCGUAUGAAUAAGGAUCGGCUAACUCCGUGCCAGCAGCCGCGGUAAUACGGAGGAUUCAAGCGUUAUCCGGAUUUAUUGGGUUUAAAGGGAGCGUAGGCGGUCGGAUAAGUUAGAGGUGAAAUCCCGAGGCUCAACUUCGGAAUUGCCUCUGAUACUGUUCGGCUAGAGAGUAGUUGCGGUAGGCGGAAUGUAUGGUGUAGCGGUGAAAUGCUUAGAGAUCAUACAGAACACCGAGUGCGAAGGCAGCUUACCAAGCUACUUCUGACGUUGAGGCACGAAAGCGUGGGGAGCAAACAGGAUUAGAUACCCGAGUAGUC